UAGGGAAUCUUCGGCAAUGGACGAAAGUCUGACCGAGCAACGCCGCGUGAGUGAAGAAGGUUUUCGGAUCGUAAAACUCUGUUGUUAGAGAAGAACAAGGACGUUAGUAACUGAACGUCCCCUGACGGUAUCUAACCAGAAAGCCACGGCUAACUACGUGCCAGCAGCCGCGGUAAUACGUAGGUGGCAAGCGUUGUCCGGAUUUAUUGGGCGUAAAGCGAGCGCAGGCGGUUUCUUAAGUCUGAUGUGAAAGCCCCCGGCUCAACCGGGGAGGGUCAUUGGGAACUGGGAGACUUGAGUGCAGAAGAGGAGAGUGGAAUUCCAUGUGUAGCGGUGAAAUGCGUAGAUAUAUGAAGGAACACCAGUGGCGAAGGCGGCUCUCUGGUCUGUAACUGACGCUGAGGCUCGAAAGCGUGGGGAGCAAACAGG
rnacentral:rRNA from 1 species